CGGGACCAGCUAUGCCUGAAUCUGCACACAGGAUAUAGGGAGUAAAGUGAGUACUCCAACUCAGUGAGUAACAAAUGUAAAUAACAAUUGACAGUAAGAAUACACGAAAAUCACAAGGCAUUCUAUAAUGAAGCAGUAAACAACAUUUAAAAGUAGCGAUAAAUCUAGUAAAAUCCUUUCUAAAUAAAUAAAUAGGUAAUUAACAGACAAUUUAGGUAAAGUAAACAAAUAGAAGUUUUCCCCUCGAGUAUGGUAUCAACAAAUCCUCCCCUCUGGAAACAACUCGAAACAUCUCAAACCCCUCGGGCUCAAUCUCACAUCACAAUGGGUAUCUACGCUCACUUGGAGUGUGCGGACUCCUGGAUGGGCCCCUUACGGCCCAAGCACACUAACAAGCUAUCUCGUGGUAUCAAAACUAGGCCCUUGGCCUAAUAUCAAUCAAGCCACCUCAUAGGAUACAUAAUCUCAGGCCCUCGGCCUCAAAAUUGUAUCCCUGUUUCCUCACAACAUAGGCCAUCGGCCUUACUCAGUCAAAAAUACUCACAAGCCUCUCGGGCGAUAGUAAAACAAUUUUUUUGAACUGAAACAGCAUGUAAAAUAUUAUUUAAGUCUCAAAACUAAGUAAAAAUGGUUGUGUAGUAAAAUAGUGGAAUAUAACAUGAAUGAGUUCAAGUAAUAAGUAAAAACAUUGAAGAAAUACAAAACGAAAGAUUCAAAUAGUUGGCACGAAGCCCAAAUAUGGCAUUUUACCUAAUAAAUGAUGAUGGAAAAUAAAUUCCAAUCAAAUAUGCGAUAAAAUCAUCGACCUGGAAGACCAAGACAUAAUCCCCAAUAAUGUACGACCUCAGGCUCAUCAUCAAGCGUGUGUCUCACCUCAAUAUAGCACUACGAUGUGCAAUCCGGGGUUUCACACCCUCAGAACAUCAUUUACAGUCAUUACUCACCUCGAACUGGAUAAAUCUCUACUCGCGAAGCCUUUUCCCCUCAAAUAUCCUUCCACGUGCGUCAGAUAUAUCCAAAAUCAGAACAAGGGCAUCAAAAUAUUCUAAGGGAACAAAGCCCAAGAGAAAACCAUCAAUAAAGGGCACAAAUUCCUAAAUUACCAAAACCCGACCCCUAAUCCCACGACUCGAAAUUCAUAAAUUUUCACAUCAAUGGAUUCUUUAUCUUGCCACAAGUUCAUACAUAUCAAAAGUUCUCAAAUCUGACCCCAAAUGGUCCUUCAAGUCCCAAACCAAGUCCAAUUUCUCAAGACCUAGUUCUUCAAUUUUUGGCUUAGUUUUCAUGAUUUUCUAUGUGAAAUUAACAAAUCAAUCGUAUUUGUAGUUCGAACAUCUUACCUCUCAAUGAUUCCUGUUGAAUCCCUCCUCAAUCUCCUUCAAAAAUCACCCAAAAUGGACAACUAUGGAGGAAAUAAGCCUCAAAAUCACGGACAAGACGAGCUAAAAACAUUCUGCCCAUGCCCGGAAUACCUUCUUCGCAAACACGGUCAAACUCUCGCGUUCGCAAAGUGCAAACUUACUUUUACCAAUUUUUCCUAUACGCGAUCACGACCAAGCCCCUAUGAACAUGAUGCUUUACCCAUGCAAACCUUCGCAAAAAUGCUCCGUACAUCGCAAACGCGAUGAGCAACCUUCACCUCAACUAGCUGACUGAAAGACCCUAUGUGAACACGACUACCAUCUCACGAAUACGAUUCACCAAUUCCUUAGUCCUUCACGAAUGCGAAGCUUCCAUCACAAAUGUGAAGGCUUAAUCCUUCCCUUCCUCAACCGCCCCUUCAAACGCGAGGUUCCACUAGCGAACGCGAAGGGAAAAAUCCCUACAAUGGGUGAACAUAUUUUUUUCAAUUUUCUGAACUCCUAAAUGAUCCGAUUGACCGCCUGAAACUCACCCGAGGCCCCUGAGACCUCAAUCAAAGGCACAAACAUAUCCUAAUACCUUAAUCAAACUUCUUCCAAUUAUCAAAAUACCUCUAACAAUAUCAAAUCACCCAAAACACAUCGAAUUCAAGCUUAAGUUUCUAAAAUCUUCCGAAAUAUGCUUUUGAUCAAAAACCCAACCAAACUACGUCUGAAUGACUUAAAAUUUUACACACACAUCCCAAAUGGCAUAACUAAGCUAUUACAACUCUCAUAAUUCUAUUUGGCCCCUAUAUCAAAAUUUCGCCUAUAAACUGGAAACUGCCAAAAUAUCAACUUCGCCAAUUCAAGCCUAAAAAUCCUAAGUCAUAAAUUACCUUCCAAAGCUAAAUGAACCAUCGUUACUCACAUACGAGCCCUCUAACAUAUAAGUCAAUAUCCGGUUGACAUUUUUAACUUAAACUUCCUUAUAAGAGACUAAGUGUCUCAAACCUUACCAAAUCCUUUCUGAACCCAAACCAAUCAACUGUAUCACAUAUAGGACCACUAUACAAAGCAAUUUGUAGCAGAAAUGGGAAAAAAAGGAGCAGUAACUCUGAGAUGACUGGCCGAAUCGUCAUAUCGAAUUACUUUUCGGUUAUAUCACAUGUUUAUUCCUUGUUUUCAUUUACUGCUUAUUCCUUGCAUUAUUAGCUUUAUGCUUAUUUAAUACACAAGUUAUUAAGACUAGUAGGUGUCUUUACUUGUACCUUGUCACUAUUCUACAGAAUUUAGUCUUGACACUUAUUGGGUACCGACCUUGGUGUACUCAUACUAUACUUGUGCACAUUUUUGUGUAGAUACACGUAUUGAAGAUAUUGGACCCAAGUAGAAUUAGCUUCUUGAUCGUGAAGAUUCAAGGUAGAGCUGCUUGGUCGUUGCAGUCCCUUCAAUUUCUUUCCCUUCUAUUGUACUAUCAAUUCAUUAUCCAAACAAUAUUGUAUUUUGAUUUGUGAGAUAUUUAUAUGUAUUCAUCUAAAAAUAUCUCAAAAAUCAUGAAACCAUCCCCAAAAAUUUUUAAAAAUAUUUCUAUGUAUUCAUCUCUACUCCUUCGGGGUAGAGGUACGACUUGAGGAUACACUACCCUCUCUAGACCCCACUAGUGAAAUUUUACUAGGUUGUUGUUGUCUAUGUAUUCAUCUAGAGUUUGUGACUCUGUAUUAUCUAGUUUUGGGAGGUUGUUGUGAUUGUUGUCACGCAGGCUUCUUUCACCUUUUCCCUUGGUAUUUAUAUGCAGCUCUGUUUUUAAAAUAUCAUUAUUAAACUGGCUUAGUUCUUGUAUGUAAUCGACUUACCUAGUCUUAGAGACUAGGUUUUAUCACAAUGCUUAAGGAGGGAUUUUAGAUCGUGACAUGUAACUUAGUAAACACUUUCCUAUUGUCCAUUAAUGAUUGUGGAGCCACACACUCGCAACUAUACAACUGACUGUAUAGACAUAGUCUAAUCAUCCAAUCCUUCAUUUUGAAUAUUUUCUUUUCAUUAAUUGCUUGGAUAAUUCUUACAUAUUCAUCUUAUAUUUUUGAACUUGUGUAUACAUUUGGUUGAGUGUCAGGGUCAAGGAUGAGUUCGAUAUUGUAGUAUGUAAGUAAUGAACUUAAGAAAUUGCAUAAGUUGAUGUUAAGUCUCGAUUUUACUAUACGCGCUUAGAUCAGUGCUUUGAAGCUUCUAAUAAGUCUAUAUAAUCUUUUUAUACUUGUACGAACGUUCGGAUUAGGCCUCGAGGGGCUCGGGAGACUUUUAGCACUAUUGCAUGAAAAUUAUGAUUUUAAGAAUUCGUAAGUUGAGUUGAGUUAUAGUUUUGAUUUAAAGCAUUUCGCUUUAUGUUUCGAGCCUUUGGAUAAAUCGAUAUAUUUUAUUAAAACAUAUCAGGGAUCAUAUGAAUUUUAAGGAGUUGGGGGAAGGUUUUUAAGCCAAAAACCAAGAAAACCAGUUGGUGCAGAAGUUUUACACUGACUUGCUUCUGGCUUGCCCACAGGUGUUGCAACAAGUAUGCCUUAAAAUUUUAUUUGUCUAUAUAAAUGGCUAAAAUUGUCUAUAUAAAUGGCUAUUUUGUACAGUAAGUUCAUUUUGGUAUUUUCGGAGCUAGAAAGCUCGAUUUGAGGUAACUUUUGAAGGAUUUUUACCUUUAACAUCGCGGUAAAUACUAACUCAAAUGUAUGGUUUUUACAUAAAUUUAUCUUUAGUUUUUCCAUAAAAUAAAUAGACUUUAAUUUUGUAUUAGAAUUAAUGAACUUCAAUCUUUUCUUAAAAUUAAUGAAUGAAAUGAUUUUACAAAAAUUUAUAAAAUGGAUUUUUGACUUGAAUGAAAAUAAAGUGGUUUUGGUGAUUUUAGCUAGUAAGUGACAUCAAGUCUGGAUUUUUAUUAUGGAGAUUAUUUUGUUUCUUUUAGUAAAUAAUUUAUGAAUUUUGUUUAGGAUUUUUAUUACGCUGGCUGAAACCAAUAUUUGUGUUGACCAAAAACAGAUUUUGAAUUUUAAGCUUUCUAGAAUUAUGAGAAUAGCUUUCUUAGUCUAAUUUGGACCCGUAAUUUAUGAUUUUUGAAUAGAUUAAGGCUAUUUGAGAUUGUCUCAAUAAUAUUUGACGAUUCAAGAGUAGCUUUGAUGAAAAGUUUUCCCAUUUUUUAGGGUAAGUAAGACUUUAAAUCUUAGUUUUCUUACAUUUCCUUAAAAGCAAACUAUGUACAACAUUUGUAUGCAACUAUUUUAUGUGUGUCAAAAAGCAUGAGAUAGGUUGGUGUAAUGACUCGGCCGGUUGUUUCCAGUAUUUUAGCCUUAUUUCCCUUAUUUGAUGCCUUACUUAUAUGUAGUUGUGGAUAUGUAACUUGUCGGGGUGAUUGAAUUAUUUCAGGAAGGUUUUGGAGUGAAUUAGGACACUUAGUCCCAAGGUUGAAAGCUUAAGCUAAAAGAGUUGACCAUAAUUUGACUUUUCUGUAGACAAGUCCAUACAUGAGUUUUGAUAGUUCCAACAGCUUUGUAUAGUAGUUUUUGACUUAGGCGUAUGUCCGAAUUUGGAUAUGGAGAUCCGUAGGUUGAUUUUCAUAUUUUAUGGAGAAAGUUGGAAAGUUGAAGGUUGAUAGGUUUGACUGAGAAUUGAAUUUGUUGUCACUGGUUCAAAUUUUUGUUCUAGGGGUUAGAAUAGGUCUGUGGUGUAAUUUGGGACUUGCAUGAAAAAUUUAAGGUCAUUCGGAGUUGAUUUGAUAUGGUUCGGCAUGAGUUUUGAAAGUUUAAAGUUCAUUAGUUUCUUUGGGAUUAAAUUGGGGUCCAUCUCGUGGUUUUGUUAUUGUUUCAUGUGAUUUGAGGCUUCGAGUAGGUUCAUAUUGUAUUUUAGGACUUGUUUUGGUUGGGGUCCUGGUGCCUCGGGUAUGUCUCGGAUUGAGAUCAGAUUAAUUGGGACUAAGAGAAAUUGUUGAAGGUUGCAGCUUCUGAUAUUUUAGCAUCUGCAGAGGGCUUGGCAGUAUAUGCGGAGCUGCAGGUGUGGUCUUUAUACGCAUAUGCAAUGUGUGGUGGAGGCUAGCUAGGAACGCAUGUGCAAUAUAAAGCCAUCUACAAGCCCGCAGAUGCAGAUGAGGAGGUGCAGAAGCGAACUUGAAUGGAGUCAUGAGUAUUUCACAGACGUAGAAGUUGGAUAGCAAAAGCGUUCCCACAUGUGCUGAGUAAGGGCCACAAGUGCGCAUGGUGCGGGUAAUUAUUGAAUUUCAUCACCAAUGAUGGAAUUGGCCGCAAGUGCAAUUGAGUGAGCAGCAGGUGCAAUUUUUAUGGCAGACUCUAUUACAUCAAGUGUUUAUGUGUUUUUCUCAUUUUUGGAUUUGUGAAGCUCGUUUUAAGGCGAUUUUCGGAGUGCUUUUCAUCUUAAUUUAAGAGGUAAGUAAUGUUUUGUACCGACACACCGAUCGUUUUGAGUAUUAAAGACUCGUAUCCCCAUUUAUUUCCCAAUAUAUAUUUGUUUGUCAUUAUGUAAAUUGCUAGGGUGGUUGGUUUGGUUCCGAAAAUAUUUCAGAAUGAAUUGGGACACUUAGUCCCAAGGUUGGAAGCCUAAGUUGAAAGAGUUGACCAUAUAUUGACUAUUGGGCAAAUGGCUCAUGAAUGGAGUUUUAAUGGUUCUGAUAACUCUGUAUGGUGAUUUAGGACUUAGGAUUGUGUCCGGAUAUUGAUUUGGAGGUACGUAGAUGAUUUUGGCUUGAAUUGGUGAAGUUGAAAAAGAUAAAAGUUUGGAGAGUUAAGAAGUUUGAACGAGAGUUGACUUUUUGGUUAUCGGACUCGAAUUUUGGUUCGGGAAUGAGAAUAUGUCCACUGUAUCUAUUAUGACUUGUGUGCAAACAUUAAGGUUAAUCGGAGUUGAUUUGAUAGGUUUCGAUAACGAUUGUAGAAGCUGGAAUUCAUUAGUUUUCAUUUAGGCUCGAAUUGGGGUGCAACACGUGUUUUGAUGUUGUUUGAUCUUAUUUGAGGCCCCGACUAAGUUUGUAUCAUGUUUUAGAAUGUGUUAGUAUUCAUGGAUUAGGUCCCGAGGGUCUCGGGGGUGAUUCGGGUUGAAACCAUAUUGGAGUUUGAACUUAAACAAAAGCUGAAGAGUCCUAGUCUGGUGCAAUCGCACCUGCAAGGCAAUUGGUCGCAGGUGCGAGAUCGAAGAAGUGUGGCUAACAGAAGCAUAUUUUUGUAGGGCUGGGGGGAUGAAUAGGUGCGACGUUUUUGCCGCAUCUACGAAAGUAUAGAUGCGAGAAUGGGAGCACAAGUGCAAAAGGAAAGAGGCAGGCGUUUUUUGCAUAAGCGGAGCCGAGGUUGCUGGUGCGACUCCCCAAAUGCGGGAGUCUGGUCCGCAGAAGCGAAGGCAAGGCCUUUAGGGGGAACCCGCAGAAGCGGAAUUUGGCUCGCAGGUGCAAGAUGUCUGGCAGAGUUAUAAGGUCGGGGGUUAAGUUAUUUUUCUCAUUUUUGGACUUUGGAAGAUUGGAUUGAGGAGAUUCUUUGAGGGAUUUCAAGGGAUUUAUUGGGUACGUGAUUAUAACUCGAAUUUGGAUUAUAUAUAUGAAUCCAUCAUUAUUUUAUAAUUUCAUUAGUAUUUUGGGUUGGAAAAAUUAGGAAAAUUAUAAGACUUUCAUAGGCUUAAAUUCAAGGAUUUAAAGGUCAAGUUGUGAUCAGAAUCGAGUAAUUUUAGAAUGGUUGGACUCGUCAUUAAAUGAGUGUCAAGAUUUUGUAACCUUUUGUUGGAUUCCGAGAUGUGGGCUUGGGGUUGACUUUUUGAGUAGGCUUUUUGACCUUAGAUAAAGAUCGUAGUUUUAUUAAAUGGAAUCAAUUCCUACAGCUUUCUAAAGUUUAUCUAGUACACAUCACAUUUGACAGAUGGCGCGUGUGUAUAUUACACGUAAAAGAAGCACGUGAAUGUAAAAAUUUUGUGUCUUAAUCAUUACUUAAACGUCAUAUGUCCUGCCUUUUUUGCUUUUAAACUUUUUUGCGACAUAUUUAUUUAUUAAACAUUAUUGGAAAUUAAAGUCUGGUCGUAUGAAAUGUACACUCGAGUUUGAAAUUACAAAUCACAACUAUGACACGGGAAUGGUACUUAUAGCUAUGAUAAUUUAUUUAAUUAACGCGCCUAGAUAAAACUACGAAUAUUUAUUUUUAAAUAUCUAAGUUAUAAUGUUAAUGUGAGGGCCAUAGGUGAUUCAUUUAUGAAUGGCACACCUCAAUCUAUUUUUAAAGAAUUGUACUUAAUUAAAGCGAUCUAAUGAUGUUCGAGUUUAAUCUAAAUUAAAGUUUAGUCUAAUACUACUAAUUACAAAUAUGCAUGAGAUAACACAUUGGGAAACUGGUUAUUUGAAAGAAAAAGGGCCAACAGACAAGUCCCUUAAGUUGUUGAAAUUCAAAUGACCAAGAUCGCUGAAAACGAAGGGUUAACUAGGCCUUAAAAGCGAACCCACAAAUGAAAGUGAAAGGGCUUUGGGGCACACGGGCCUGGUUUGGAUCAGGCAUCCUCGUUUGGGCCAUUAACAGGCCUGGCCGCUUCUAAAGAAGGCCCUUCAGCGUUAUAACCUACUGAGGCUUGUUCCAUAUAUAAACAACCAUUUGCACAAAUUCUAAAAAAAGCACAAAUGCUGAACACUUUAUUCUGCAGACUUACAAUUUAUUGAUAUGUUAUGAGUAAUACAUUAUUAAUAUAAACUAACCUAAACUAUUACCUAAGGCAUUAAGAUCAACCAAGUAAGCAUUCGACCAUAAUUGCAAUUCUGAAAUAUAAUCUGAUCAUGAAUUGAUAACUGAACAUUGAACAAACUUUUGAAAGUGCAUGGACUUAGACUUCAAAAUUUAAGAGAAGAAAAAUAUAUCAUGAUCACCAUACUAUUCAAUAGACCUUCACAGCAUACAACCAAAGAUACGGGAGAAUGACAUUAUACAGUCAUUCAUGGACUUCCAAAUAAAACCAACACAUGAAAGAUGAAAUAUUAAGCGACUCAUUACUGAUUCUCCCAGCACAUACAUAUCAGAAUCUAUCCCUAUCGUAAUUUUGUAUUUUUCUUUGGCUACAAUCCACAGAUUAUGAACCAUUAAUCAAUCAACUAUGAUUAAACUUAAUCUAUGAAAGGAAAGACAAAUUUAAUAUAACAUAUCAGAAUAACUAAACUAACGACUAUGAUGAAAAAUUUCAGCAAGUCAUCUUUCAAAGACUGCUAAAUCAUCUAUAUACACCCAGAGCUUCCAUUUUUAGCUUUGAUUCCCAUGGAUCUGACCAUGUCAAAGAUCAGACUCACCAAGAGCAUGGUUUCAUAUGUGUUAUUAGUAACAUUGCCAUAUAAACUCAGCCAACGGGUGAAAAAUAUUAGUCCAGAAUGACACAAAAUAGUAUAUAUAACCUAAAUGACAAAUAACGUGUUUGAUACACAAGACAACAGGUUUAACAUGACAUGGAAACACUGAAACUUGACAAGAAAUCACAUAGUCAAAAAAUCUCAAUUGUUUUUGCAUUCAUUGAAAUAAAUCUCAUUUUAAGAAAAAUAGCAUCGAACAAGAGUCUAUUGCAUUCAUAUCAAAUCAGGUUUUGGAAAUAAUUAAAGACAAAAUGAAAUGUAUACCUAAUUGCUUAAAGAUUGAACCAAAAUGCAAAAUAGAAGUAUAUAGUUCAACGGUAGAGAAAUAGCAGCAAUAAUCAAUACCCAGCUUUAAUAUCAAUUCAUAAGAGCUCAAAACCCCAGAAAUCUCUAAAAAGAUUGUUAACUUUGUCACCAAAAAAGAAAAUAGAAGACGCUCCCAACUGAAUUUAUUUUCAGAGGAUUUUUACAGUCUGUUUUUCUUUCCUCAAGAGUUAGGGAAGGGUUAUAUUUAUAGGCCAUCUGAAAUAUCAUGUGCCCAAAAAUAGAAAAAAAAGAAUUAUUCCCUCACACAAGCAUCUUUUAAUAGAAUUAGGACACAACUUUUAAUUGGUUUUAGUAUUUGUGCUGGCCAAAAAUUGAGCUAGCUGUUCCAAAUUCUAGAAACUUCUAACAUUAGCCUUAUCUAAAAAAAAUAUUUCAUACCCUUCUAAGAUCCCUUAAGUUUUUUUUUCUGUUCCAUUAACCCCCAUAACUUUAAUUUGUUCACAAGUCAGAACCAACAAAACAAAGACCAAAAUUGGCACAAAUCACAUAUUAAAAGGACCAAAAAUUUAGGCAAUUAAACCUUCAAUUAACCCUAUCCCUAAAUCAAUUCUGAAAUAAAGGGGGAAUAGAAAUCGACAAGAGAUUAACACCCAAACGACUCACACCAAAAAGACUGUUAAGCUUACUAAUCCAACUAUUGUGAUGAAGAUUUAAAUAAGUUCUAACAAUAUAUGAAAUUGAACUAAAAUCAAUUUUACAAUUGGAACCAUGCAAGCUAAGACAAUUAUGAAAUAUAAACAGUGAGAGUCCUUACCUCAAACCUGACCCAGGAAAGAUAAAAACGAUGAACUCCAGCAGGUGAAUACAAAUAAUGAGUUUUGACCGGAAUCGAUAAAUCUAUCCAAAUUCUAUGGUCUCGAAAUGGCUUAAAACUAUCGUCAAUCGAUUGCUCAUAUUGAGAGAAAUCUAUUAAUGUAAGUUUUCAGUCAAAGCGAGUCAGAUUUUUUUGUGAAAAGACGAAAAAUAAAAUUACUUUUUUUAUCUCGAAUCCCUAGAUUGAAUUUGAGAGUGGUCUGCUUGAUUUUUUAGGAGAUUAAUAGUGGAUUUGGUAUGAGGGAAUGUUGAAGGUUAUAUGGUGUCAAUUUGGGGCUAUUUGGCAAUGUGCUGCCGUCGUGGGUGAUUUCUGACAGGUGGUGCGCGACGGCGAGUAGUUGAGAGAGAUGAAAGAUUUCAAGAGCGGCUAGGUUAGGGUUCAUGGUUAGAGAUAGGAAAAUGGGGGGUUCUAAGAGGUCUCGGGGGGAGGGGUCUUAAGACACUAAUAUAUAAAUAAACAAGCCUAGUUUCCAUCUGCUUGAUCCAAACAGGUCAAUGGAUGGGAUUUGAUGCUCACGAAAUGGUGUCGUUUGGCUCCUUUUUCGCUCUCUCUAUCUGCAACGGUCAAGAAACCCCCAGAUCUAGUCAAAUAGCUGGCGAAUUUCCGCCACCUACGACCACCUCCACCAACAGCCGGCACACGCCGCCGACCACUAUUUUCCACCGGAAACGGUUUGUUUUCUAUUCUCUUAUUUAUUCCUCUCAUCAGUUUUCUAUCUCAGCUUCAUACUAACAUUUCUAUCGGAUUUUGAAGCUCCAAUUUCGUGUCUCCAGGUUUCAGAGGGUUGUUUCUUCUUGUGAUUCUUGUCUAUUUCCUGUUUUAAUAUCUUUAUACAUAAUAGAAAAUCAAAGACUGUCAGCCUAAGUCUGUUUCCGGCAGACCCAUUUUUCUGUUAUUUUCCUAUCUCUCGUUGUCCCGAUUAUUUUUAUCUGUUGUGGUGCCGAUUAUUUUCCUUUCUAGUAUUGUCUAUUUCUGUCUUAUAGGCUGUUCGCCGGCGAUUUUUCCGGCCAUCCCUGCUCUUUUCUUCCUAUUCUCUCUUCUGCUUUUUGUGGGUGUGUGUGCGUGUGUUCUGUUUUCUUGGACAGAUACCUUAUUUUUCCAGCGAGGAUUUCCGGCAAGCUAUAGUACUUCCGGUGACUCCCGUUCAGACUUUCGGCAGGACGCAAUUGAACUACACGUGGUAUUGUCUAUUUCUGUCUUAUAGGCUGUUCGGCGGCGAUUUUUCCGGCGACCACUGCUCUUUUCUUCCUAUUCUCUCCUCUGCUUUUUGUGGGUGUGUGUGGGUGUGUUCUAUUUUCUUGGACAGGUACCUUAUUAUUUCCGGCGAGGAUUUCUGGCAAGCUACAGUACAUCCGGCGACUCCCGUUCUGACUUUCGGCAGGACGUAAUUGAAGUACACGUUCCGAUAAGCUUAUGGAAAACUUGCCCCAGGUAAUAGUUGCGGUGGCGAGGACAACUUGCGGCGUUUGAGAGUGAAGAGCUAAGCAACACCGGCCUUGACGUGCAAGAAUCGAUAGUAGUUGACCUUGGGCGCAUCAAAGUCUACUUUCAGGUUUUUCCACCGGGAGUUUGU
rnacentral:lncRNA from 1 species